rnacentral:rRNA from 1 species
UCCUACGGGAGGCAGCAGUGGGGAAUAUUGGACAAUGGGCGCAAGCCUGAUCCGGCCAUACCGCGUGGGUGAAGAAGGCCUUCGGGUUGUAAAGCCCUUUUGUUGGGAAAGAAAAGCGAUCGGUUAAUACCCGGUUGUUCUGACGGUACCCAAAGAAUAAGCACCGGCUAACUUCGUGCCAGCAGCCGCGGUAAUACGAAGGGUGCAAGCGUUACUUGGAAUUACUGGGCGUAAAGCGUGCGUAGGUGGUGGUUUAAGUCCGUUGUGAAAGCCCUGGGCUCAACCUGGGAAUUGCAGUGGAUACUGGGUCACUAGAGUGUGGUAGAGGAUAGUGGAAUUUCCGGUGUAGCAGUGAAAUGCGUAGAGAUCGGAAGGAACAUCUGUGGCGAAGGCGACUAUCUGGGCCAACACUGACACUGAGGCACGAAAGCGUGGGGAGCAAACAGGAUUAGAUACCCUGGUAGUCCACGCCCUAAACGAUGCGAACUAGAUGUUGGGUUCAACUUGGAACCCAGUAUCGAAGCUAACGCGUUAAGUUCGCCGCCUGGGGAGUACGGUCGCAAGACUGAAACUCAAAUGAAUUGACGGA